rnacentral:rRNA from 1 species
UACGAAGGGGGCUAGCGUUGCUCGGAAUCACUGGGCGUAAAGGGUGCGUAGGCGGGUCUUUAAGUCAGGGGUGAAAUCCUGGAGCUCAACUCCAGAACUGCCUUUGAUACUGAGGAUCUUGAGUUCGGGAGAGGUGAGUGGAACUGCGAGUGUAGAGGUGAAAUUCGUAGAUAUUCGCAAGAACACCAGUGGCGAAGGCGGCUCACUGGCCCGAUACUGACCCUGAGGCACGAAAGCGUGGGGAGCAAACAGG